GCUCCAGUGUGCAUUCUGACAUAACAGUUACACUGGGGUCCCCUUUAGUCUCAUGCCCCACCGCCCAUGCCAGCACUGGCAGGGGAAGAGGCUCAGCUGGACACCUCUCUGAGUUCCUCUGAGAAUCACCCUCGGCUGAAGAGCACACACUUGCCAAGGUGGACACCGGAUCACUAGGUCAAUGUGACCCUUUGGCGAGAGAUCAGUGCGGAACUGUGCCAACUUUCAAGGCAGGUUUGAGAAUUCCAAAGGAAGCUGUGAUUGCGUAGGGAGGCCGGGAUGAUAGGCUCUUUACCCUGGCUUUUGACGCGGUUGAGAGGUGCAGGGAAAGGCUGGGCGCUGGUCAGGCUCGGUGAGGAGGGGAAGGCCCAGGCUGCCUUGUGGGCAGUAGGAUUCCCUGCAGCUGCAGGACAGAAGAGGCCAGGAGCAGGAGCAGGACUUUGGUAUAAAAGCAACAGAGUUCCAAAGAAGGGGGAUCCCCUUCCCAUCGGGCCGCUGCCCUUCCCCGAGGACCACUCCAGCUCGCCGAGGAACCAUUCUCAUUUCCUCUGCUGAGCUCGAAACCGGCCACUGGGGUCAAGUGACCAAGACCCAGCAGGAGAAGUGCUGGGCUGCUGAGAGCCAGGAGCGGCCCAGCGCAGGAAGCAAGAAGCAGGCCGAGGAGCUGGGGCUCUGCGGGGCUGGCGUGAGAAGCUGGGAACAGAUUCUGAGCACCUUCUGAACCUGGAGCCUCACCUUCCAGCUGACAACCCAGUCUUUGGAGGUAACAUUUCAUUAUGAAACUGAAGCAAAGUUCAAUGUUAACAGAGCUGUCUUAUCCGAAAUAAUGCUUGAGUGUCGCUGCUCUUCAGCAGAGAGAACGGAGAGGAGGCCGCCCCAGCUCCUUCACACACUCUGCUGAGUCCCCACGGCAGGCAGGGGCGAGACUGCAAUGGAUGACAGGACGACAAAGAAGAUGCAGGGAUAAGGGAUCUACGCAAACCCAAUUUUGCUCUCUUGAGGAAUUAUUCUGACCAGAAAGGGUGACAGGGCGGUUAAGAGGCAGCAAGGCCCCUGACCGCAGAAGCGAAGCUGAGAGAACCCAGGGUCCCCUUUCGGAGCUGAAGAUUCUUGACCCAAGCAAGGCAGGUGGCCCUGCGAACCAAAAAUCUCACAGCUAAGUCUCACGUGGCCUUCCUCCCACCCAAGGGCGGCAGCUGAUGGCCACCGACUGCACAUGCGCGGGAUCGGGGCGCACGCGCGGCGCCCACUUCCGGGAGCUCUUCCGGCAAGAUCGGUGCGCACGAGGGCAGAGCCGGAAGUGGCGCUCGGAAUGGACGACUGAGGGUGACUAGGGAGGACAGAGGUGGCCGCUGGGAGACAUGUGGACCACCGCUCAAACUGGCCCCUAUCAGCACUCUGUAUAGGUGGUAGUGCACUUAAUAAUUUACAGUACCAGCUUCGCAUAAAUUACAUUUUUGGUUGGCGAAACAGAAUUUCGAGGAUACGAUUGACAUCAUAAUUUGGAGAAUUAGUAAUUCUUUUCCUACAGUGACUUGCCACUUUAAAUUUGAAUAAGGAUGAGCAAAAGGCUAUUGCAAUGGAUAACGGCAGUCCCUUGUUAAAUUGACUAAUUAGAUCUGUUUGGUUUACAUGAAUAUAAAUAUUUUAGAGUAAACCUCUAAUAAGUGAGCAAACUUAUUAAGAUAUAAUUACUUUCUAAAUUCUGUGUUUUAAAAGUCAUAAUUACAAUGUGGAUUACAAAGUAUUCUACAUGGAGCCUUCAGAAAGAUUUGGCUGCUUCUCUCUGUAAUUUCAUUGGUUUAAAGCUAAACAUGUUAAUGUGGAAGGAAGAGUUUAUAAUUGGAAUCCUUUCACUUUUGUUUUGACUUUUUUUGUGGGGGGGCCAGGUGUUACUGUAUAGUUCACUAUGUAGCUCAGGUUGGCCUUGAAUUUGUGGCAAUCCUCCUGCCUCAGCCUCCUGAGUGCUGGGAUUACAGGUAUGCACCACCACACCAGGUUUGGAGUCAUUUUGUUUUGAUAAAGCAAAGUCUUACUAAAAAUAAAUGUAGUAUCUAGGCAUGGUGGUGUAUGCCUGUAAUCCUCACACUUGGGAGGCUGAGGCAGGGUUAUUUCUGUGAGUUCAAGGCCAGCCUGGCCUACAAAAUGAGUUCAAGGCCACCCUGAAUUGCAUGGCUAGGCCCUGUCUCAAAAAGAUAAAUAAAUACAUACAUAUAGUAGUAGUGUGUAAGGUGAGAAAAUGUGGAAGGAAACCAUUCAAAGUAGAAGGAAUUUCUGAUUGGGUUUCAUAUUUCCACCCCCCAAAAAGAUAUACUUGUUACUUAUGAAGAUAAAAUAUGGUUAUAAAUGUGGAUAAUAUACAUAUACAAUAUCAAUAUAAACAGAAAUUGUACAAAAACAUGUAAGGAAGCAAUAGAAGUCAGUUUUAGGACAGCAGUUACCUCUAGAGAGAGAAGGGAGUGAUUGGGGUUGGAGUUGUAUCUGAUCUUUCACUGUUAGGAAGAGUGAGAGGUAAGGUGAAUUUCCCUUGUUAUUUACUAUAUAUUUGAAUAUUUCAUUAGUUAAUCAUUGUUAAGCAAGGAAAAAUGUAGCUUAAGUCUGAUUGCUUGCUUCUAACGGACUAAAUGUCCACGUUGAUUUGAGAGCAUAUUUAAGGAAGGUUUUGAGGGUAUGGAGGGAGUUACUUUUAGAUGCUCAACAUAUACUAAUAGUAACAAAAGCCACAGUUCAUUAGGCACAUAAUACAUGCCACGCAAGUUGUUGGAAACACGAUGCUGCUCUGACAAUAAGCAUGUAAGGAAGGUGCGUCCUUCAUUCCCACCGAGCAGAUGGCCAGGUGAGCUGCGACUCCUGCCCGCGCAUGGUGAUAAAAUAUGCUAAGCGAAACUCCAACUUUCAAAUGUCAAGUUUAAUAUCCCAAAGAUCAUUUCUUAUGCAAUAGCUUUCUUUUCCCCAAGAGUUAUCUCUACAUUUUAAUAUGUUUACUUGAGAAAAAUCAGAAAAUAUAGACAGGGAGAAAGAAGAUAAAAAUUGCCCAUACUUUCACUACCAGCCAGAGAUAAUGACUACCAGCAUUUUGAUGAGUGCCCUUUCAUAUGUUUCUCAUGCAUAAAUUUGUAUGAACUUUCAAAUGCUUUCAGAAGAAACUGUGUCAAGAAUUUCUCUAUUGCUAUUGCUUAUGACACAUAAUAUGGAAUAAAUUAAAAGCUUGGCUUUUAUUCCAUACUUGUCCGUAUAUAUAUAUAUUGUUUAAAGCACAGUUUAAGCUGGAGGUGGGAAGGCUUCGUUUUUUAAAGCCAUAUACAGGGGGAAAAUAGGUAAGCUACUUUUUCGAAAAAGUCAUGGAGUUUAUUGCAUCGAUGUUUUUAAGACAAAGCCCAAGACAAAGCAUAAUUACUACAUUAUAUUUACCAGUAAAUCAGAGAACCAAUAGUGAGCAUAUUGCCCUGUUGUGGGUGGUUUCUUUCAGAGAACAGGUGGCCCUUUAUUUUAAGAAAAAGGGAAAAUGGCAAUAUAAAAUAUGAAAGCAAAUAU